GCUCGGCUAGCUCAGUCGGUAGAGCAUGACACUCUUAAUCUCAGGAUUGCGGGUACGAGCCCCACGUUGGGCG
rfam:Danio rerio chromosome 4, GRCz11 reference primary assembly.